GACGAACGCUGGCGGCGUGCUUAACACAUGCAAGUCGAACGAUGAAGUUCCUUCGGGAAUGGAUUAGUGGCGAACGGGUGAGGAACACGUGAGAAACCUGCCUUUCAUUUUGGGAUAACUCCGGGAAACCGGGGCUAAAACCGAAUACUCCGUCUCGGCGGCAUCGCUGAGCUGGGAAAAAAUUUUGAUGAAAGAUGGUCUCGCGGCCUAGCAGCUAGUUGGGGAGGUAAUGGCUCACCAAGGCAACGACGGGUAGCCGGCCUGUGAGGGCGACCGGCCACACUGGGACUGAGACACGGCCCAGACUCCUACGGGAGGCAGCAGUGGGGAAUAUUGGGCAAUGGGCGCAAGCCUGACCCAGCGACGCCGCGUGAGGGAUGAAGGCCUUCGGGUUGUAAACCUCUUUCAGUAGGGAAGAAGCGAAAGUGACGGUACCUAAAGAAGAAGCACCGGCUAACUAUGUGCCAGCCGCCGCCGUAA
rnacentral:rRNA from 1 species